rnacentral:rRNA from 1 species
GGCCCCGCACAAGCAGCGGAGCGUGUGGUUUAAUUCGACGUAACACGAAGAACCUUACCGGGGUUUGACAUGUACAUGUAAUCCCGUGAAAGCGGGACCCCUCGCAAGAGGCGUGUACACAGGUGUUGCAUGGCUGUCGUCAGCUCGUGCCGUGAGGUGUUGGGUUAAGUCCCGCAACGAGCGCAACCCUCGUCGCCAGUUGCUCUCUCUGGCGAGACUGCCGAGUUUAACUCGGAGGAAGGCGGGGAUGACGUCAAGUCAGCAUGGCCCUUACAUCCCGGGCUACACACACGCUACAAUGGGCGGUACAGAGGGUUGCUAAGCCGCGAGGCGGAGCCAAUCCCACAAAACCGUCCUCAGUUCAGAUCGCAGUCUGCAACCCGACUGCGUGAAGGCGGAGUUGCUAGUAACCGCAGGUCAGCAUACUGCGGUGAAUAUGUUCCCGGGGCUU